rnacentral:misc_RNA from 1 species
GAUGAAGAACGUAGCGAAAUGCGAUAAGUAAUGUGAAUUGCAGAAUUCAGUGAAUCAUCGAAUCUUUGAACGCACAUUGCGCCCGCUAGUAUUCUGGCGGGCAUGCCUGUCCGAGCGUCAUUUCAACCCUCAAGCCCCCGGGCUUGGUGUUGGGGAUCGGCGAGCCUCCGCGCCCGCCGUCCCCUAAAUCUAGUGGCGGUCUCGCUGUAGCUUCCUCUGCGUAGUAGCACACCUCGCACUGGGAAACAGCGCGGCCACGCCGUUAAACCCCCAACUUCUGAACGUUUGACCUAGGAUCAGGUAGGAAUACCCGCUGAACUUAAGCAUAUCAAUAAGCGGAGGA